rnacentral:miRNA from 1 species
CAGAGGGAGGAGGUUGGGAUG